CUGGGUUAGUCGGGACCUAAGGAGAGACCGAAAGGUGUAUCCGAUGGACAACAGGUUGAUAUUCCUGUACUAGAGUAUGUAGUGAUGGAGGGACGCAGUAGGCUAACUAAAGCAGACGAAUGGAAGAGUCUGUCUAAGCAGUGAGGUGUGAAUUGAGUCAAAUGCUUAGUUCUAUAACAUUGAGCUGUGAUGGGGAGCGAAGUUUAGUAGCGAAGUUAGUGACGUCACACUGCCAAGAAAAGCUUCUAGCGUUUAAACAUACUCUACCCGUACCGCAAACCGACACAGGUAGUCGA
rnacentral:rRNA from 1 species